UCAUCCAUUCUCAAACUUUAAAUAUGUAAGAAGCACUUGUUGCUUAAUUGAACGUGUGCAUUCGAAUGUAUCAACACUAGUGGGCCAUUUUUGGUAAGCAGAACUGGCGAUGCGGGAUGAACCGAACGCGAGGUUAAGGUGCCAGAGUAGACGCUCAUCAGACACCACAAAAGGUGUUAGUACAUNUUGACAGCAGGACGGUGGCCAUGGAAGUCGGAAUCCGCUAAGGACUGUGUAACAACUCACCUGCCGAAUGUACUAGCCCUGAAAAUGGAUGGCGCUCAAGCGUCUCACCCAUACCUCGCCCUCAGGGUAGAAACGAAGCCCUGAGGAGUAGGCGGACGUGGAGGUCAGUGACGAAGCCUAGGGCGUGAGCCC
rnacentral:rRNA from 1 species